UGAUGUGAGGGCCAUCUGCCUGUGACACCCGUCACCACACUGAGCUCCAGCCUUGAGUCAGCCCAUGUGGCUGCCCAAGCCCAUGUUCCCUUCCUCACCCAGCGCUCCAUAUGCAUCCCUCCCAAAGCUGCUGGGGCACAGAGGACGACCUCCCCGAUACAGACAGUACAUUUUAUCACUCAAGGCCAUUUGGCAGCUGUGCUCUCUGCUACAACCUCUGAACCAGCCCAAGGUACUAGGGCUGCAUUUCUAGGGCUUUCCCAGUAGUCAUAAAUAAAAUUUUGCACAAAAGAAGACUGAAAUAGGGUGCAAAAAU
ensembl:misc_RNA 7SK 7SK RNA